UUGAAUUAUUUGAUUUUGGUAAGCAAAUGAGUCCGUUCACGCAAUAGUUUGCUUUUGUUUCUCGAUUGCCUUACCUGUGUUAUCCAUGAGUUAACGUACGUUGUACGUUAUCUCAUAACGUGGUUGAAACAAAGUAAAUUCAAGUCAGUCAAAGGAAAUGUUUGAAAAGCCCAUGUACAUACCUAGAUCCUAGAUCACAGUGGAUCACAUAUUUGGUGUAAGAAGUGAGGCAUGCAUGGAUUGUUUGGCUGCAUUGGAUUUUCAAUUUCCCUUGCUAAAUAAAUAGUGAUUCAAGAAGAUUUCUUCUGUUUGUUUUUAUUAGGUCAAAUUCUCUCCACCACGUAGCUCCAAUGCAACACAGCAAGUCUAAACUUUUCAGUACAGUGGGACUGUUAGAGUUACCUCUGCUCGUGAAGAAUCCAGCUAUUUAGAACAAGUACUUUAUGAAGCAACUCAAACAUUCAGUGACCCUAUCUAUGUGAAGUGCCAGACACAAUGUUGGCCUAAAAUAAAAAUGAAUUCCAACCUCCAGUCUACAUGAGGAAUUGGCAUGGACUACACUUAAGAUCAGGAAUCAAAAUAUCAGUGUUGACGGAAUGACAGUGAAGAUGCCAAUGCUGGUGUUAAAUUAAUGGAAGACGAUCCAGUUUUGGGUUACAUGUUUCAGAUUCUUCGGAGAAAAAAGUUGAAAUUGAUAGCUUUUAAUCCUCAUUCAACAUCUUCCACAGGUGAUUCCUGCAUUGCCGUUACAAACAACCGUGGACAUGGAUUCAUUAAUUUUCUUAAAACUGUGUCAUUAGAUGCGCAAACACAAAUGUUAUGAAUUUCGUUUUGGGGUCAAUGGAGUUGGCGCUGGUUGCCGUUACUGGCGUUUUGCGACGUCUUGCUAUCAGUUUGGAAGAAAAGCUCUGGAUUCUAGGGAAUCCUCCGAGGUAACCUUGCAGUCAACAUACAUGUGAGGAGUUUUCGAUUCGUUAAAAUUUGUGCAUAUCUUCGUUGUGUUUUUUGCAUGCAAAUCAACCUGCAGACAGGUCGGCCAGUUUGUCCCGACACGAUGUCCUUCUCACUUGAAGGUCACGAGAAACAUUACGUAAAACUGGCAUGCGGUAGUGUAGAGGUUGGGUGAGAAUGACACGUGUUUCAUCAUUAUCA